UGCGUAGGCGGUCUCUUAAGUCAGAUGUGAAAGCCCGGGGCUUAACCCCGGAAGUGCAUUUGAAACUAAGGGACUUGAGUAUGGGAGAGGGAAGUGGAAUUCCUGGUGUAGAGGUGAAAUUCGUAGAUAUCAGGAGGAACACCGGUGGCGAAGGCGACUUCCUGGACCAAUACUGACGCUGAGGCGCGAAGGCGUGGGGAGCAAACAGGAUUAGAUACCCUGGUAGUCC
rnacentral:rRNA from 1 species